rnacentral:rRNA from 1 species
AUUGAACGCUGGCGGCAUGCCUUACACAUGCAAGUCGAACGGUAACAGGUCUUCGGAUGCUGACGAGUGGCGAACGGGUGAGUAAUACAUCGGAACGUGCCUAGUAGUGGGGGAUAACUACUCGAAAGAGUGGCUAAUACCGCAUGAGAUCUACGGAUGAAAGCAGGGGAUCGCAAGACCUUGUGCUACUAGAGCGGCCGAUGGCAGAUUAGGUAGUUGGUGGGAUAAAAGCUUACCAAGCCGACGAUCUGCAGCUGGUCUGAGAGGACGAUCAGCCACACUGGGACUGAGACACGGCCCAGACUCCUACGGGAGGCAGCAGCGGGGAAUUUUGGACAAUGGGCGAAAGCCUGAUCCAGCAGUGCCGCGUGCAGGAUGAAGGCCUUCGGGUUGUAAACUGCUUUUGUACGGAACGAAAAGCCCCGGGUUAAUACCCUGGGGUCAUGACGGUACCGUAAGAAUAAGCACCGGCUGACUACGUGCCAGCCGCCGCAGUAA